rnacentral:lncRNA from 1 species
GCGCUCCUCUUAACAGUAGACUCAUAUUACUGUUUUUGAUUUUCUGUAAUUUUUAUAAUUUUUUUUGAAAAGUUUGAACUUUGGGCCAAAUUGAUUUUUUGAACCUUUAUGACGUCUGGAAGACUCGAACGUACUGCUAAACUUUGUAAAUAGAUGUAUUAUGGUAUAUACUGUUGUACAUGCUGAAGUACAUGUAUUUUAUGAACAAUUAUUGGUCUUAAGUGGACAGAAUGACAUUGAUAGAGGUAUAAGAAAGUUAGAGUGGCAUUUCUCCAAGUCAAGUUUUUGCAAUGGCAUAUUUUCAACCGAUGAAAUAGAGAGUGGCAUAUAUCCAAUUAACUCAUUAUAAAAUCUAGUGAUCUUGGUUUGACACUAUAUAUGUUACGGAGUAAUAUUUUUAUUAUAAUUUAGUCAAAUUUUAUAAAGUUUGAUUAUGAGUAAAAUUUAUAUGACUUGUGGAAUAAUUUUUUUUAGCAGAGAUGUACCAGUACAUCUAAUCUAACAGAUUAUAGAUGCUUUUCAGGAAUAUUCGCACGUGCAUAUUGAACCCUCAGAACCAAAUCUGUUUGUGGGUUAACGUGAGGUCGAGAGCGAACGAGGCCAGGCUCACUCUGCAGUCUGCACUUUGGAUUCAUCUUCAUGCUGGCCUGGAAGCAAGUACUUCACGGCCCUGUGGUGGCCGCGCCACUGCAAA